CAAUAGCGUAUAUUAAAGUUGUUGCGGUUAAAAAGUUCGUAGUUGGAUUUCUGGAGGGAGCGUCGGCCCGUAUUUACGAGUGCGUGACGUCUCUGUCCAUCCUUGCGGGAAGGCACGGCAUUGAUUUGUUGUGUCGGAUCGCAUCAUUUACUGUGAAAAAAUUAGAGUGUUCAAAGCAGGCUUUCGCUUGAAUACAUUAGCAUGGAAUAAUAAGAUAGGACUUUGGUGCUAUUUUGUUGGUUGAGCCUAAAGUAAUGAUUAAUAGGGAUAGUUGGGGGCACCUGUAUUGCGUUGUCAGAGGUGAAAUUCUUGGAUUUACGCAAGACAAACAGCUGCGAAANCGNNNGCCAAGGAUGUUUUCAUNAA
rnacentral:rRNA from 1 species